GCGGGUGUGGUCUAGUCUGGCAUGACUGUGGCUUCCCAAGCCACCAACCCGGGUUCAAAUCCCGGCACCCGCACCA
rnacentral:tRNA from 3 species